rnacentral:lncRNA from 1 species
UUCACCUGGCCUCCCGAAAACGCGGUAGCUACUCUUUCCCCUUCGACCUCUCCAGUUGAUGCGUCGUCCUCUUCUCCUUCCCAUUAUCUCCCCACCAUAAACACACGAGAAACGGAUGGUGGCAUGCGAGCAAUCAUCCGUCUUCAACGCCCGUUGAGGGAUUUUAUUAUUGCCCAUCUCCUUCCGGUGACGGGACGAAUUGGAGCCGCCCGGGAUUCGGUGUCUCCUCGCCGCUACCUCUGCCGCUCUGCGCCACCGCGGACGCUUGCUGGCGAAUCCGAAUCCCUCUACUGGUACGCCUUCAUCCACCUGAGUUGAAGGCCCCGCCAUGACUCAUUUGAAUCCCCAUGUGGGAUGAACGGGACAGAUCUGCAUCCAUAGCCGCCGCCGCGCUGCUCUGCGACUGCAUCUUCUUCUUCCUCAGUCUGGUGACGCGCUUGAACAACACCUCACCGACCACCACCGGUGGCAUCUCCAGUUCUCCAGCACCUCCCCUAUGGCGAGGCAUUGGCCGUGGACGUGGACUUGCAGGCGCUCCUUCUCGCCGACGAGAACGAAUUAUUAAGCGUCCAGCACCGUGCUAUCCAUCAUCGGCAUCCGACCGUGAGGCGGAGUAUGAGACCCCGUUUGCAAGAAAAUAGCCAUGGUGCGUGUUCUUAUUUCCUCUCCUUGCUUCCUCCUACUCGGGAUUGUUCAAUAUGCAAUUAGCUCCUUGACUGUAGGCUAGGUUACCGUCUGUAUUAACCCUGUUCUGUUUUGCAGUUGAGAAUCAGAUGGUGACGCUUUGGAACAUUUAGACCUCGGCAGGAGCCUUUAUACACUUAUAAGGCUGAAGAAUAUACCAAUCCAAGUGUUAGCUUUGCAAGGGGUUCCUGUUCUGCGAAAUAAAGGAUAAGAAUGCCAUCUGCCAUACAUUAAAAAGUUUCUACAAAGAGAUAGUGUGCAGUUAUUUUGUUCCAGUGAGUCUUUCUUAUGCCAGAGUAUGUAUGUGUGAAUUUUCUUUACAGUUUAUGGAUGAUAAUGGGAAAGUAAAUGGUUACUGCUUUGAAAUUAGGAAGGACCGAGGAGGAGUAGCCUAAUUAACAAGAGCCAGUACAACUUUAGGUUCUGUAGUGUGCGAAUGUUAAUAGCUUCUAGGAACGGCUAGCUGGCUGUAAGGACGGUCUUGGUAUGCAAUGAUCUGGUGAUCUUGAGUGAAGUGGAUCUGUUAAUCCUAUUUACCUGGACUAUCUGAAUUUGCAUCUUCCUUAUCAGUUAUCUGAAUUUGUAGU